UUGGCACUCAACUCACCUGGCUCUUCAGGAUAAUUCAGUAUAUCCCAAAAGCAGGCUCAGUCAGAGUAUUGUCCAGCAGAAAAAUUGUUGCUGUUGAGUCUUCAGAAGUGUUUAGGAUUUCCGAAUGGCUCAGCAAACUGCUUCCCAAUGGGAAGUGUCUUCAUGUGUGCUGAAUGCUCAGAUUGCUGCUCAUCCAGAGGAGGGAGAUUUUGUGGGAGAUCCUUCGCCCUUGAUGUGUGGGUCUGUGCACCUCACUUCUUCCACAUGCUGACAUCAGUGGAAACUCCACACUGGGACAGGAGCAAUACAUCUGCUGCUGCUUUCUGGGGAGGAAGAGAGAAGAGUGAAUGCUCAGCAGUUGUUUUGUAAUGGGUAGCCUGAGAAAUUUCCAUCACAGCUCUGAUCUGCUCAGGUGGACCCGUGUUCUCCUUUCCCAGCCUGUGAAGGGAGACAAAAUGUCUGGCAGACAACAAAUAAA
rnacentral:lncRNA from 1 species